GGAACGCUAGCGGUGUUGGCGCGGAGUGGACCCCGGCUGCGGCCCCUGGGUGUUUCCACACCGGUAGCCAGCUGUGCCCUGAGGUGGAAGAGGACCGGCCACCCAGGAAUUUUCCAAGUAACGACUCGCAGUCUCCGGGAUUCCUAUCUCCCGGCCCCCGAAUUUCCAUUAAUAUUCUAGCGAUGUCAGAAACAUCCUCAGCUUCCCAGAAAAAUCCCAGUAAUAUUCCAGCAUCUCUCAGUAUCUUCCAAGGAGCCUGGACGCCCUCCCCAGGCCCGCUCUCAUAAGCACCCCAGGAAUGUGCCCACCCACCUCCUGGUUUUCCCAGCAGUAGUAUUGUAAUCCUCAGAAUCUCAGUAACUUUCCAGUGACCCCGCAUCCCCACCCACUAAUCCCAGCGUCUCUGGUUACGCCUCCCAGCAAUGGCGCCACCAUCGGUCCCGGAGUCCCAGUGAUGCUCUGUGCCAUAGAGCCCCCAUAACUUCACUACUACGUGAUAGUAAAU
rnacentral:sRNA from 1 species